GACACGGACCAAACUCCUACGGGAGGCAGCAGUGAGGAAUAUUGGUCAAUGGACGAGAGUCUGAACCAGCCAAGUAGCGUGAAGGAUGAAGGUCCUACGGAUUGUAAACUUCUUUUAUAAGGGAAUAAACCCUCCCACGUGUGGGAGCUUGUAUGUACCUUAUGAAUAAGCAUCGGCUAACUCCGUGCCAGCAGCCGCGGUAAUACGGAGGAUGCGAGCGUUAUCCGGAUUUAUUGGGUUUAAAGGGAGCGCAGGCUGCGAGGCAAGUCAGCGGUCAAAUGUCGGGGCUCAACCCCGGCCUGCCGUUGAAACUGUCUUGCUAGAGUUCGAGUGAGGUAUGCGGAAUGCGUUGUGUAGCGGUGAAAUGCAUAGAUAUGACGCAGAACUCCGAUUGCGAAGGCAGCAUACCAACUCGCGACUGACGCUGAGGCUCGAAAGCGUGGGUAUCGAACAGGAUUAGAUACCCUGGUAGUCCACGCAGUAAACGAUGAAUACUAACUGUUCGGAGGGCGACCUCUGAGUGGUAAAGCGAAAGCGUUAAGUAUUCCACCUGGGGAGUACGCCGGCAACGGUGAAACUCAAAGGAAUUGACGGGGGCCCGCACAAGCGGAGGAACAUGUGGUUUAAUUCGAUGAUACGCGAGGAACCUUACCCGGGCUUAAAUUGCAGAUGAAUUACGGUGAAAGCCGUAAGCCGCAAGGCAUCUGUGAAGGUGCUGCAUGGUUGUCGUCAGCUCGUGCCGUGAGGUGUCGGCUUAAGUGCCAUAACGAGCGCAACCCCCGCGUCCAGUUGCCAGCGAGUAGAGUCGGGCACUCUGGACGGACUGCCGGCGCAAGCCGCGAGGAAGGCGGGGAUGACGUCAAAUCAGCACGGCCCUUACGUCCGGGGCGACACACGUGUUACAAUGGCGUGGAACAGAGGGAAGCCACCUGGCGACAGGGAGCGGAACCCGAAAACACGUCUCAGUUCGGAUUGGAGUCUGCAACUCGACUCCAUGAAGCUGGAUUCGCUAGUAAUCGCGCAUCAGCCAUGGCGCGGUGAAUACGUUCCCGGGCCUUGUACACACCGCCCGUCAAGCCAUGGGAGCCGGGGGUACCUGAAGUGCGUAACCGCGAGGAGCGCCCUAGGGUAAAACUGGUGACUGGGGCUAAGUCGUAACAAGGUAGCCGUACCGGAAGGUGCGGCUG
rnacentral:rRNA from 1 species